rnacentral:rRNA from 1 species
ACGGCGAGCGAACGGGGAAGAGUCCAGAGCCGAAUCCCGCGCUUAACGGCGCGGGAAAUGUGGCGUGGGGGAGUCGGCAUCCUCCGAGUGCGGCCGGCGGCGCAAGUUUCUUUGAGAAGGGCCACUUGCCGGAGCGGGUGCUAGUCCCGUACCGCCGCCGGGACGCGCGCGGAGUCGUCGGGUUCCUUGGAGUCGGGUUGCUUGGGAGUGCAGCCCAAAGUGGGUGGUAAACUCCACCUAAGACUAAAUACGACCGAGAGACCGAUAGCAAACAAGUACCGUGAGGGAAAGUUGAAAAGCACUUUGAAGAGAGAGUUCAAUAGUACGUGAAACCGUUCAGAGGGAAACGGGUGGGGCCUCGAAGUCCUAAGCCGGUGGCGUAAUCAGGUCGGUCUGACUCGUCGUCUGCGCGACGUCGGUGCCUCGCGAAUUGGGGCCCGCCGCGCUUUCUAAGAGGAAGCCGCACCGCACUUGCGCAUCCCUGGCUAGCAGGACGUCGCGAUCGGUUGGAAGGCCGUCCGCGGUGCUGUGGAAAGGUAGCCAUCUUUCUUCCUCUUGAGGAUCGACGGUGUUACAGUCUGCAGCGUACGCCGCAGUCGGGUCGUCCGACCGAGGAACAUCACUGCCUCUCGAGAUCAGAGCGGACGCGUCGUCGUCGUCGGAGUUCGGCGCAGGGUGCCACCUUUACGGGUGAGCCCGUCCGCGCUCCUUCGCCGCGGCGCUUUGCCGCGCGAGGCUUUGAGAUCGGCGACGAGUACGUCGGCAUCCCACCCGACCCGUCUUGAAACACGGACCAAGGAGUCCAGUGCGCGCGCGAGUCCCCGGGACUUGACCAGGCCCGAGGGCGCAAUGAAAGUGAAGGGCGUUUCGGACGCCCGAGUCGGGAUGCCGUAAGAAGCCGCACCGACGGCCCGUCUCACGCGGUUUCGCAGAGGCGGAGCAAGAGCGCGCGCCCUGGGACCCGAAAGAUGGUGACCUAUGCCUGGACAGGACGAAGCCAGAGGAAACUCUGGUGGAGGUCCGUAGCGGUUCUGACGUGCAAAUCGAUCGUCGGAUCUGGGCAUAGCAGCGAAAGACUCAUCGAACCAUCUAGUAGCUGGUUCCCUCCGAAGUUUCCCUCAGGAUAGCUGGCGCUCGUUGAAAACGGUCUCAUCCGGUAAAGCGAAUGAUUAGAGGCCUUGGGGCCGAAACGACCUCAACCUAUUCUCAAACUUUAAAUGGGUGAGAAGUCCGGCUUGCUCGAGUGAAGUCGGACGUUUUUAAGACGAGAGUGCCUAGUGGGCCAUUUUUGGUAAGCAGAACUGGCGAUGCGGGAUGAACCGAACGCCGGGUUACGGCGCCCGAUGCGAGACGCUUAGCAGAACCCAAAAAAGGUGUUGGUUGCUAUAGACAGCAGGACGGUGGCCAUGGAAGUCGGAAUCCGCCAAGGAGUGUGUAACAACUCACCUGCCGAAGCAACUAGCCCUGAAAAUGGAUGGCGCUCCAGCGUCGAGCCCAUACCCGGCCCCUUCCCUAGACGACCUUAAAGGGAAGGGAGUAGGAGGGCGCGGGGGCGGCGCGGAAGGGCAGGGUGCGAACCCGCUCGGAGCCGCCCUCGGUGCAGAUCUUGGUGGUAGUAGCAAAUACUCGAGUGAGAACCUUGAGGACUGGCGUGGAGAAGGGUUCCAUGUGAACAGCAGUUGAACAUGGGUCAGUCGAUCCUAAGGCAAAGGAGAAAUCCGUUGAGACGACGGACUUAUUUACGAAUAAGCGGUUCCGUCUUGUGCCGAAAGGGAAUCGGGUUAAGAUCCCCGAACCUGGACGCGGAGUUGACGCCUCGUGGGGUCAGCGAUGGCACCCUUGGCGUCGUGGCGGCAACGCAAGCGAACUCGGAAACGUCGCCGGGAGCCCUGGGGAGAGUUUUCUUUUCUCGUUAAGGGUCCUGCUCCCUGGAAUCGGCUCGCCCGGAGAUAGGGAUGCCCGGCCCCAAGAGCACCGCGUUUCACGCGGUGUCCGGUGCGCUCCCGGCGGCCCUUGAAAAUCCGAGGGAGCGGUUUUUGCUCUCGCGCCAGCUCGUACCCAUAUCCGCAGCAGGUCUCCAAGGUGAGCAGCCUCUAGUCGAUAGAACAAUGUAGGUAAGGGAAGUCGGCAAAACUGAUCCGUAACUUCGGGAGAAGGAUUGGCUCUGAGGGCCGGGCCUGUCGGGCUCGGUCGUCGAAGCGGAAAUGGUGCCCGGAGGGGCUGGGACGCUCUUGGGACUCGCUCCUUGGAAGCCCGGACCCGACGGGAACUUUUCCGUGGAGGCGCCGAGCUGCGACGGCUUGGGGGCUCGCUCUCCCUUGCCGUCUUCGGCAGGCGACUAACGGCCGACUCAGAACUGGCACGGACCCGGGGAAUCCGACUGUCUAAUUAAAACAAAGCAUUGCGACGGCGGUUGGCCCGUGUUGACGCAAUGUGAUUUCUGCCCAGUGCUCUGAAUGUUAAAGUGAAGAAAUUCAACCAAGCUUGGGUAAACGGCAGGGGUAACUAUGACCCUUUUAAGGUAGCCACACGCCUCGUCAUUUAAUUAGUGACGCGCAUGAAUGGAUUAAUGAGAUUCUCACUGUCCCUACCUGCUAUCUAGCGAAACCACAGCCAAGGGAACGGGCUUGGAAAACGUCAGCGGGGAAAGAAGACCCUUUAGAGCUUGACUCUAGUCUGGAUUUGUGAAGAAACAUGAGAGGUGUAGCAUAGGUGGGAGGUUCGCCGACCCUGAAAUACCACUACUUUCAUCGUUUCUUUACUGACUCGGUGCUACGGGGCCCGGUCUACAACGACCCGUCGUCUGGAGUCAAGACCGCCUCUCGUAGGCGGUCGACCCGCUCCGAGGACAGCUUCAGACAGAUAGUUUGACUGGGGCGGUACGUCUGUAAAAAGGUAACGCAGGUGUCCUAAGGCCAGCUCAGUGAGGACGGAAACCUCACGUGGAGCGAAAGGGCAAAAGCUGGCUUGAUCUUGACUUUCAGUAAGAGUACAGACCGUGAAAGCGUGGCCUAUCGAUCCUUUUGACCAUUCGGAGUUUGAAGCAAGAGGUGUCAGAAUAGUUACCUGAGGGAUAACUGGCUUGUGGUAGCUAAGCGUUCAUAGCGACGUUACCGUUUGAUCCUUCGAUGUCGGCUCUCCUUUUCAUUGCGAAGCAGCGUUCGCCAAGCGUUGGAUUGUUCACCCACUAACAAGGAACGUGAGUUGGGUUUAGACCGUCGUUAGACAGGUUAGUUUUACCCUACUGCCAAACUUAUCGUCGCCGUAGUAUUCCUGCUCAGUACGAGAGGAACGGCAGGUACGGAAAAUUGGCACUUGCGCUUGGCCGAGCGGCCAGUGGCGCGACGCUACCCUCCGGGGGAUUACGGC